AUGCAGAGGAGGCAGCAGGCGGCGAGGAGGACCGGUCUCGACGGACUGGUGGCGGAGAUCGCCGGAUUUGAACGAAGACGGCGGCUGGCCUGGCGGACUAGUGCGGUGGAGCUGCUCGGCCUCGAGGCGCUGCUAGAUGUGGCCGACGCGUUGCGGGGAAAACAGAGGCCGGUGGGAGAGGUUCAAGGCGGUAGCGUCGUGGAGGAAGACCGGCGGGGACUUGAAGCGGGGCUCCGGCAGCUCGGCGUGGUUCAGCAACUUAGGGGGAUUCCAAAGGACUUCCCUUUCGAAAUCAGCAAAACGGAGGGGAUUCCUGACAUUACUCUUACAAGAAGUUUAAGGGGCGAGCAGAUUGAGGUCUUGGUUUCCAUGCCCAAACGCGACGACAUUGGUCUGCAGGAAGACUCAAAUCAAGAAGACGAAGCCGAGACCUCCCCAGAAGAAUACAGCAUUCCUGUCAGUGUCACUGUAUCCAAGGCCAACGGCUCAAGCCUAGAAUUCACCUGCACUGCUAAUCCUGAUAAUAUCGUCAUCGAGACCUUGUCCAUAAGGCAGAAGAAGUCAACAGGGGCAGAGGAAGCGGACGAUGUGGUUGCGUCUGAGGGCAGGGAACAUGAUCUGGCCGUAUACAAUGAGGGUCCUCAUUUCCAUGAGCUGGACAAGAGCCUGCAGGAGGCAUUCCAUAAGUACCUGGAGGUGCGUGGGAUCACACCCAUGACGGCAAAGUUGUUGCGCGAGCACAUGAUGAGCGAGGACAGCCACCUUUCGCCAAAAGAGAAGAGUGACGACAGGCGCAGGCAUCUCGUCUGGCUGUUGAAGCUCCUGAUGCACCGCGCCAACGCUACCCCCCUCCGCGCCCACGCUGAAUCUGUCAACGCCACCAUCCACGACGGGGAGGUCAUCGACGUCAUUGACUCCAUGAUGCAGUCCCGCGACAGUGGCCUGGUUGAUGGGAUUCCGAGUGACUUCCCAUUCCAGAUCCUCAAAGAGGAGGGGCUUAAAGACAUCACUCUUACAAGAAGUUUGAAUGGGGAGCAGAUUGAGGUCAUGGUUUCCAUGCUCAAACCAGAUGGGGACGAGGAGGAAUCCUCGGAUUCUAGGUAUACGUCGGAUGAAGACGAAGGGGACAAUAGCAUACCUCUCAGGGUCACGGUUUCCAAGGCCGAUGGAUCAAACCUUAAAUUCACCUGCACUGCCUAUCCUGACAAUGACAACAUCUUCAUCGAUACCUUGUCCGUGAGACACCCACCAUCACGGGCCAAAGAACAUGAGGAAGAUGAUCCUGAUUUCAGUGAGCUGGAUGAGAGCCUGCAGGAGGCACGCGGUGAGCUGGAUGAGAUCCUGCAGGAGGCACGCAGUGAGCUGGAUGACAACCUACAGGAGGUAUUCCGCAAGUAUCUGGAGCUGCGUGGGGUCACUCCCACGAACAUCAAGUUGUUGCACCAGUACUUGAUCAGCAAGGACAUACUCUGCAAUCAACUCUGGCUGACCAAGCUGCGGGAUUUCGUCAAGAAAGAUUGA
rnacentral:rRNA from 1 species